ACACAUGCAAGUCGAACGCCCUAGCAAUAGGGAGUGGCAGACGGGUGAGUAACGCGUGGGAACGUACCCUUCGGUCUGGAAUAACCCAGGGAAACUUGGGCUAAUACCGGAUACGUGCGAGAGCAGAAAGAUUUAUCGCCGAAGGAUCGGCCCGCGUCCGAUUAGCUAGUUGGUGAGGUAAAAGCUCACCAAGGCGACGAUCGGUAGCUGGUCUGAGAGGAUGAUCAGCCACACUGGGACUGAGACACGGCCCAGACUCCUACGGGAGGCAGCAGUGGGGAAUAUUGGACAAUGGGCGAAAGCCUGAUUCAGCCAUGCCGCGUGAGUGAUGAAGGCCCUAGGGUUGUAAAGCUCUUUCGCCAGGGACGAUAAUGACGGUACCUGGAUAAGAAGCCCCGGCUAACUUCGUGCCAGCAGCCGCGGUAAUACGAAGGGGGCUAGCGUUGUUCGGAAUCACUGGGCGUAAAGCGCACGUAGGCGGAUCUUUAAGUCAGGGGUGAAAUCCCGAGGCUCAACCUCGGAACUGCCUUUGAUACUGGAGGUCUCGAGUCCGGGAGAGGUGAGUGGAACUGCGAGUGUAGAGGUGAAAUUCGUAGAUAUUCGCAAGAACACCAGUGGCGAAGGCGGCUCACUGGCCCGGUACUGACGCUGAGGUGCGAAAGCGUGG
rnacentral:rRNA from 1 species